UACAGAGCCACAGUUCCACAAACACUGGUUUGAACCGAUUGAAUUUCUAGGAUUAUCCGGUUCUUCCCAACGACAGAUCAACACGCUUCGUGGUCCUUUGCAAAAACCCUUCUCUCUCCUGAGUUUCGGGUUUCGUUUGAAUCGAAAGUGAAAGGUCACGUAUACAAAACAAGCUUGAUUGGUAUCAUCAUUUUGUUUUUAACAUUUUCUAUCAUCGAGGGAAGUUGCUCUUCGACAUCUGUUCAAGAUCUAGGGUUCUUGUCCUUUCUGAGACGCUUAUGACGCUGACGCCGGGGAGACGGCAAGAGAGGAAGCCGCUGGGCGUUUCACUUUCAGAAGAGAGAAGAUAGUAGCCAUGGAGAGCUGUUCUACUAGGACUCAUUAGCGAUGUGUGUCCUAGAACAAACUCCAAGGGCUUCAAAACAUUCUUUGUAGCCAGCGACAGAGCACAUUAAUACUAUUAGAUCCCAUGCUGUUUAAGAAAAAUAUGCUAUUUUCAGUUCUUCUUCGUUAUUUCUGACCCUUGUUUGGGUUAUUGAGAAAGUUUAUGGGAAUUAUUCGAAUCUUGGAGCUGGGUUUUGGAGGGUAAAAUUGAGAUUUGUUAAUUGUGGUUUCAAUCUUCUUGGUUAAUCAGGUUGAUCUAGUAGACUUAAUUCAUUGAUUGGUCUGGAGUUGAAUGCCUCAAUCAAAACUCCAGCCACUCUCUUCCCAAUGCUCUCAAACAGGGAUAUAGAGAAGAUGCUGGUUUGAAUCUAGAGAGCGAUGCAGAUGAGCAGCUGUUGAUCUAUAUACCUUUCACUCAAGUUGUUAAACGGUACUCUGUUGUUGUCCAGGGACCUGAAGAAGAAGGAGAUGUUGCCAUGGCUGAUGCCUGCACAAGUUCAAUCAAGGGCUCGCCAAGUGCAAGGGGAUCAAGUUUUAUUGAGGGGAUCUCUAAAUCUUCAUAUGUAAGACAAGCAUCAGAUCUUAAAGGUUCUUUCCUAAAGUUUGCAGAAACUUGUAGAAGACCAAAAUCAUAUGAUAGCUCAAAUGCGUGAUGAACUACAGGCAGCGAAGAUGGGACAUCAGUCUUCCUCAUUGAUGCCAUCAUCAUCUGAUAUUCAUCCAGUUCAUAGAUCCCUUGGUGAUUCACAUAUGGAUUAGCAUGAUGCCAUAUCUCACUGACUUAAAUAAUAUGUUUUAUUAUAUGAAUUUUAUACUAUUUGGAUCCAUUAUGUAUUUUGAGAUAUUUUAAGUUUCUUAGUGUUGAACUAUAGUAAUGUUUUGGACUUUUAGAUGGCAGAAUUAUGAAAUGAAGUUGAUGUGUAUAUAUUGUCUUUGA